rnacentral:rRNA from 1 species
GACGAACGCUGGCGGCGUGCUUAACACAUGCAAGUCGAACGGAAAGGCCCUGCUUUUGUGGGGUGCUCGAGUGGCGAACGGGUGAGUAACACGUGAGUAACCUGCCCUUGACUUUGGGAUAACUUCAGGAAACUGGGGCUAAUACCGUAUAGGAGCUCCUGCUGCAUGGUGGGGGUUGGAAAGUUUCGGCGGUUGGGGAUGGACUCGCGGCUUAUCAGCUUGUUGGUGGGGUAGUGGCUUACCAAGGGUUUGACGGGUAGCCGGCCUGAGAGGGUGACCGGCCACAUUGGGACUGAGAUACGGACCAGAGUCCUACGGGAGGCAGCAGUGGGGAAUAUUGCACAAUGGGCGGAAGCCUGAUGCAGCAACGCCGCGGGCGGGAUGACGGCCUUCGGGUUGUAAACCGCAUUCGCCUGUGACGAAGCGUGAGUGACGGUAAUGGGUAAAGAAGCACCGGCUAACUACGUG